rnacentral:lncRNA from 1 species
GUGCACUGCUAACAGCACACCAGGUCCUACCAAGCCCGUGCUCACUUGCAGCCAGUUUCUUUUUCUCCCCCACUCCUCUCCCAUCCCUUCACAGGCUCUGACUGACUCGUGCUUCCCAGCUGCAAACAGCCAAUCCUGCCCUGGCCGGGCACCUCAGCUGCCAUCCCACUCAGUUCCAGGCAAGGCCCACGUGUGGACAAAAGGAACCACCUCCAUGGAAGGGUCAGAGGAACAAAGGAAGGAGUGAAUGGAGGUCAGCUGGCACCAGGGUAUGCUCGGAUCCAUCGUGCCUUAGGAACGGCUCCCAGCCCACUUCUGACAUUUAUCUCACAGCUGCGCUGCUCACAAAGGAGGACAGCAAUCGUUUGUCUCUCAGACACAGAGACGGCGCUCCCACUUUGCACUCACACAUCCCUGCUGUCCCCAGGGGGACUCCGGGUCCUGUUAAGAAAAAUCCCUGACUUCUGCUGUUGUUGCCUGCAUCGAGCUGGGAGGAUAACAGGGAAUGCUGCUUGUCAGCUGUCGUGCAAGAGCAGACCUGGUGUUCUGCGCAGGGUCUCAGAGCGGCACGGUGAUGAUGUCAGCAGCAAAGGGGUGCUUAUGGCUGAUACAGCUCCUGCCAAGCCCACGGAUGAGCUGAGGCACAGCACAGCCACAGAGCAUCCACAUGUAGGUGUCACACAGCAUCUUCUGAAAUAACAGAGGCGUUACAGCUCAGAACAGCACACCAUCAGAUGAUGAAUCCAGACCUCUUCUCGUCAUCCCUGCUUGGAGCUGCACCAAAUGGGUUUAUUGCAGGAGUCCAUGCCUGAUGUCUCCCAGCGGGGAUGCGGGGCAGCCUGAGCAGCCCAGCUCAGCCCAGGGAGCAGCCAUUAAACACGAUUCUAUUGACUAAAGAAACCAAGAAGUGGAUAUUGACAUCGUCAGAAACUGUGCAGGCAAAUAAUUUGCCUCAAGAUUGUAUUCUCACCAUACUGUUAUCUACAUUUUUUGAGAUGUUUUUAUUUUCUAUUCUCCGGCUUUUAUGAAUCAGAAAGUCUUGGCUCUGGCUUUUGUGAGGAGAUAUGGUUUACACCUGGACUGCUGGUGUUGGAAUUUUAAAUAUUAAAAGCUAACGUUCAGUCUAGAUCAGCCCUACACCAUCACUCCUACAGGGAGCUGCUGUGCUGAAUGUUUCUGUUUCUGAGCACAGUAUCAACCACCUCUGUCCUUGUCAAGCCCUAUGGAAAGGAACAUUUACCAGACUCUGUGAGAAUGGUC